AUCACAAGCGAGCACAAAAAAAGAUCUUGUACAACAGCAGCAGCAACAACAUUGUUGUCUAGUUCAGGUAGAGCAAAAUCUGGUUGCAUGAAACCUGAAAACCCCACUACAACAGCUUCCACUUCCAUCUCAGCUUUCCCUGAUGGCAUGGGGCUGUCUGUCUGUCCAGCCCUGAAAAAAACACCUGCUCAUCAGGAGAGCUCAUGGCCCAACUCGUUCCAUCCCUUUCAUCUGCUCGCAGCAUCUCCUGUUUUGAUCACGCCGUUUCAAUGUGAUCAUGCCGUGCCUCUGCCAUCUGUGCUGCUCCUUCUUGCUGCCUGUCGGGAAGGAACCAAUGCAGUUCGCAGUUGGUCAUGGCAGUGUCAGAGAAAUUCAACCAGUGUGUCCAUCAAUAGGCAAGGCACCUUUCUUGAACCAUGGCCGGCGACCAGCUUGCCGGACCUGCUGCUCGUGGCUGUGCAGCAGGAAUUCGUCGAUGCGCCGGGGCUGUGACAGCAGCGGCCCUGAGUGGUCCACCCUGCUCACCUUCCCCUU
rnacentral:misc_RNA from 1 species